AACGAACGCUGGCGGCAUGCCUAACACAUGCAAGUCGAACGAUUGCCUUCGGGUGAUAGUGGCGCACGGGUGCGUAACGCGUGGGAAUCUGCCCUUAGGUUCGGAAUAACAGCUGGAAACGGCUGCUAAUACCGGAUGAUAUCGCGAGAUCAAAGAUUUAUCGCCUGAGGAUGAGCCCGCGUUGGAUUAGGUAGUUGGUGGGGUAAAGGCCUACCAAGCCGACGAUCCAUAGCUGGUCUGAGAGGAUGAUCAGCCACACUGGGACUGAGACACGGCCCAGACUCCUACGGGAGGCAGCAGUGGGGAAUAUUGGACAAGGGGCGCAAGCCUGAUCCAGCAAUGCCGCGUGAGUGAUGAAGGCCCUAGGGUUGUAAAGCUCUUUUACCCGGGAAGAUAAUGACUGUACCGGGAGAAUAAGCCCCGGCUAACUCCGUG
rnacentral:rRNA from 1 species